UCCAUCCCCCUACCUUGAUGGUGUCUGCACCUUGAUCAGUCUCAGAGAGAGAGGUGCUCUAAUCAAGAUUUGAUAUUUUGGAAAUUGUAUCAUAUGCAACACUGAAGCCCCCCACAAUGCCUACCAUUGUUGCUCUUAUGAUACAAAUCCCAAGGUACAAUCUUAGGUAGUAGAAGUGGUUGGGAUACCUCAUUCUCGUCAAAACAAGGAGGGUUAGCUACCUCUCCAAGAUUGAGCUGGCCUCCAUGGUUUGACCACCCUAUAUAAAAGGAUUCUAUGCGGAUGUUGAAGCAUUCUCCAUUAUCAACCAUCUCCUUCAUCAUCAACUAUCUUCUCCAUCUCUGGUAUACAGCGAGACCUCUCCACUGCCCUCUCUGUCUUCUAAGCCUUCUUGUUCUCUCACCUCCUCACUCACUGGUGAUUACCUUGAUAUCUCAGCACCCACGUUCUUCCCUAUCAGUGGACCACAUGAACAAAUACCACCCACAACAUUAUUGUUUAUAAUUGGGAUGUUUGGGUUGGCACUAGGGAAAUGUUUGUAAUAAGUUGGGAUUUUAGUUUACAUGUGUUGUUUACAUUCAAGGUGUAUGACUGCAUGUUUUGUUAAUUCAAACUAUUUCUUUUUUUUUUUUUUUUGUUUUUUGGGUGGUGUUUGAUAUGCCAAGACGCUGAACCAGUGAAUGCAUGGAUUGGUUUUUGUCAAUUGUCCUUGUGCUACAGAACUAGAAGUCGCGGAUGUUACUGAAAUUUCUUACUGCAACUGGCCCAUUUCCACAAAUAUUUAUCAAGGGGGAGUUCAUCGGAGGAUCAUACAUCAUUCUUAACAUGCACCAGACUGGCAAGCUGAAGGAAAUGAUUAAAGAUAUUACUGCCAACCAGGAGAGAUCAGAGUAAUUUAUGAUUGUGGACCGUGUAUGGUAAGAGUUUGGAGUAGUCUUUUGAUGUUCUAAUUUCUUUUGAGGUAAUAUAAGCAUGCUAAAUUUAUGUCCUGUUAACAGACCCUGUUUCAGCGGGAAGCUCAUGCAUUGAGUAGCUUGUUUUAACUAUGUUAAACUAUGAAUAUUUGUUGAUUUAAUCCAAUAAUGGUUCGUUCAA